ACACGACCUCUCUCUCUCGUUUUUUUCCGGAGAAAACGAUGUUCAGUCCCUUCAAAUUGCAAAACACCAAAUUUUUGAUGCAUGUCGAAUCGAGUUGAGUCUUCGUUUGGAGGUGAUGAAGGUGUGCAAAAAUCUGGAUUUAGAGAGCUCUGCAUCGAAGGAAAUCCGGGUUCGAGAAGGUGGACAUCCGGGAUAGCUCAUCGGCUUUCACGGCGGAAAGAGGCGGCGGUUAUGGUGGUUUUUGCUCCCCUGAAUAGGAAACAGAGCAUAAUAGAGGAGAAUGUGAUUUGGAGAAGAAGCCAGAGGUGAUACUAAAGAAGAGGAAGAAGAGGGUUUAGAACCAGAAGAAAGAAGAAGCUCCUACAGAUGUGCAUGAUUUCAGGGCCAAGGGAUGUUGUCGGAUGACCACCAAUAAGGACUUGAAAAUGAAGACUUUGGUGCAGCACAGCUUUAGUGCAGCAAAUAUGAGCAUAGAAAACCAUCUUUUGGUGUAGCAAAGCUUUGGUCUCCUUAUUUUGUCUAUGUUUGGCUCUCAUUGUAUGGUUGGUUUUGUUUUGUAGUCUUGUCUAUUUUGGUGUUUUGUUUCACGGGUCAUUGUUUCUGGUGUAGCAAAGCUUUGGUCUUUUUCUAUUCGUCUUCUCUAUAUAUAUGUUUGAACCAAACUCCAAAACUUUAUA